AGAGUUUGAUCCUGGCUCAGGACGAACGCUGGCGGCGUGCUUAACACAUGCAAGUCGAACGGAAAGGCCCUUCGGGGUACUCGAGUGGCGAACGGGUGAGUAACACGUGGGUGAUCUGCCCUGCACUUUGGGAUAAGCCUGGGAAACUGGGUCUAAUACCGAAUAGGACCGCGCUCUUCAUGGGGUGUGGUGGAAAGCUUUUGCGGUGUGGGAUGGGCCCGCGGCCUAUCAGCUUGUUGGUGGGGUAAUGGCCUACCAAGGCGACGACGGGUAGCCGGCCUGAGAGGGUGACCGGCCACACUGGGACUGAGAUACGGCCCAGACUCCUACGGGAGGCAGCAGUGGGGAAUAUUGCACAAUGGGCGCAAGCCUGAUGCAGCGACGCCGCGUGAGGGAUGACGGCCUUCGGGUUGUAAACCUCUUUCAGUAGGGACGAAGCGAAAGUGACGGUACCUACAGAAGAAGGACCGGCCAACUACGUGCCAGCAGCCGCGGUAAUACGUAGGGUCCGAGCGUUGUCCGGAAUUACUGGGCGUAAAGAGCUCGUAGGUGGUUUGUCGCGUUGUUCGUGAAAACUCACAGCUUAACUGUGGGCGUGCGGGCGAUACGGGCAGACUAGAGUACUGCAGGGGAGACUGGAAUUCCUGGUGUAGCGGUGGAAUGCGCAGAUAUCAGGAGGAACACCGGUGGCGAAGGCGGGUCUCUGGGCAGUAACUGACGCUGAGGAGCGAAAGCGUGGGUAGCGAACAGGAUUAGAUACCCUGGUAGUCCAA
rnacentral:rRNA from 1 species